CUGCACCGGGCACUGGAUUUAACAUGGACAAAGGCUGGUGCUAUGAAGCUUCAGCGGACGGUCUCAUCCUUUACUUGCGCAACCUGCAAUAACACCAACGCCAUUGGUGUCCUUCGUUUAUCUUAUGUAUCGUGUGGAGAUGACUAUUGUUGCUGAGACUGCUGAAAGUCUAUUUGUUGGUUUCGAUGGAGAAAUGCAAAAGUUACAUAACAUCCGAGCUUUUGAAGCUGCAUCUUUUGGCUGGAGAGGGAGAGAAUCCAGAGCACACAGCUACCCCUUUUAUUGCACAGAUGGCUGGCAAGACUUGCACCUUCCACGUCAGAGUAAGCAGCUACAAUUUCACUGCCAAUCACCAAACCUUCACUAUAUCACGCAUCUUGAACUAACGUGACCGUCUGCCACUCCCUGAAUUUGUUGCCCAUUCUUAACAGGAUGGUAACGAUGAUCAUGGCGGUGAUAUGCCUGGGAAUAUCUCAGGGCCUACUAAGGUGGACACUGAUGGCGACGACUGUGAGGAAGCACCGACUAUAGGAACUACUUCAACUGGUGUCACCAAUAAGCCUCCCGCAACAGCAACUUCCAAGGUUGCCAAGAAGACACGCAUCGCAUAGGCGAAGAUCAUUAAGUUUUUCUACGCACUAUUUUCUGUUUGAAUAAUGCUUUUGGCAUCAAUAUGUGUUAUCCUUAAUGUUAACUUCACUUUUU